GACGAACGCUGGCGGCGUGCCUAAUACAUGCAAGUUGAGCGCUGAAGGCUGGUACUUGUACCAACUGGAUGAGCAGCGAACGGGUGAGUAACGCGUGGGGAAUCUGCCUUUGAGCGGGGGACAACAUUUGGAAACGAAUGCUAAUACCGCAUAAAAACUUUAAACACAAGUUUUAAGUUUGAAAGAUGCAAUUGCAUCACUCAAAGAUGAUCCCGCGUUGUAUUAGCUAGUUGGUGAGGUAAAGGCUCACCAAGGCGAUGAUACAUAGCCGACCUGAGAGGGUGAUCGGCCACAUUGGGACUGAGACACGGCCCAAACUCCUACGAGAGGCAGCAGUAGGGAAUCUUCGGCAAUGGACGAAAGUCUGACCGAGCAACGCCGCGUGAGUGAAGAAGGUUGUCGGAUCGUAAAACUCUGUUAGUAGAGAAGAACGUUGGUGAGAGUGGAAAGCUCAUCAAGUGACGGUAACUACACAGAAAGGGACGGCUAACUACGUG
rnacentral:rRNA from 1 species